GUGCUUGCUUCGGCAGCACAUAUACUAAAAUUUGAAUGAUACAGAGAAGAUUAGCAUGGCCCUUGCACAAGGAUGACAUGCAAAUUCGUAAGGCGUUCCAUAUUUUA
ensembl:snRNA U6 U6 spliceosomal RNA